rnacentral:scRNA from 1 species
CUUCUGUCGCUCACGCUCAAUGCGGUCCGUAC